rnacentral:rRNA from 1 species
UACGAAGGGGGCUAGCGUUGCUCGGAAUUACUGGGCGUAAAGCGCACGUAGGCGGCUUUCUAAGUCGGGGGUGAAAUCCUGGAGCUCAACUCCAGAACUGCCUUCGAUACUGGAGAGCUCGAGUCCGGGAGAGGUGAGUGGAACUGCGAGUGUAGAGGUGAAAUUCGUAGAUAUUCGCAAGAACACCAGUGGCGAAGGCGACUACCUGGCCUGUUCUUGACGCUGAGGCGCGAAAGCUAGGGGAGCAAACGGG